GUUCCGCCAUGUUGCGGGCUCGGUGGCUCCCUGAGUGCUGGCUACUCUCCUGAUCCGUGUGCUGGGCUGUGACCCGCUGCCGAGAGCUUUGAGGAGAGCGGGGCGAGCUCGGAAUCCGCGAUGGCUACAAAUGGGAAGACCACAACAUCGAAGAACAUUGUCAAAAUUCUAGAAGACAUGAAAGGUGUAUCAUUAUCUGUCACUCUGGAUACAAACCAUGUGAUCCUGAGCAGCAUGAAAAGAAGCAAUGUACUGCUCUUUCUUCCAGAACAGUUAGAAAAUAUGUAGUAGUCCUCACUAUGCAUAGACUUGACAGGAUUUCUCUAUGAAACAGUCCUGCUUGUCCUGGAACUCGCUCUGUAGACCAGGCUGGCCAUGAACUAAAAGAGAUCCAUCUGCAUUUGCCUCCAGAGUGCUGGGAUUUAAGGCGGGAGCCACCACCGCCUGGCCAAAGGAUGCUCAUGCAUGAAAUGACAAUUACACUUAUUUACAACAUCUCAAAUCAAAACCACCCUGGAUAUCCUGCAUUUAAAAAAUACAAAGGGGGAGAUGGCACCACUGGAAUGGAGUACUUAUUGUGAACAGAUUUCUGAG